rnacentral:lncRNA from 1 species
UGUUGAAAUUUAAUCUCCAGUGUGGCAGUGUUGAGAGGUGGGGCCCAGUGGGAGGUAUCUGGGUCAUGGGGCAGAUCCCUCAUAUAUAGAUUAAUGCCCUCCCUUGGGGGUGAGGGAGUUCUCAUUCUUAUUAGUUUGACAGAGCUGGUUGUUAGAAAGAGCCUGGCAUUCCUCUCCCCUUACUUCCUCUCUUGCAAUGAGCUCUGGACAGGCCAGCUCCCCUUCACCUUCCACCAGGAGUGAAAGCAGCCAGAGGCCCUCAUCAGGUGCCCAGUCUUGAACCUUCCAGCCAGCAGAACUGAUUCUAAUGGAACACGAGUGAACUACCUUUCCCAGCUUCUCCAGCAAUAACGUGUGAUCAUAUGACUAAGUUCUCUCUCCUGGAAUGUGAGUGAAAUGAUGUCCACCCCUGUCAGGAGGGGCUUAAGAGAGUUACGGAGUCUCUGCCACAUGGUGCUCAAUCCAUCAUGGGCUUUUUUUUAACUUAAUAGUUAAGUAAAAAGAUCUCUAGUUUCUUUGCCAAGACUCAGAUUCUACUCUCUAAACUCUUGGUGAGCAUAUGAACUGUUCUCUCUGAAAAGUAAUUUGACAAUAUCAAUGGGAAUUUUGAACAUUCCACUACUAAAAAUUAUAAUUAUGCUACAAACUCAUAUGUACAAAGGUACUUGUGAAAAAAUUGUCAUUGUAGCAUCUUUUAUAAAAGCAAAGUAAAAGAAAAAGUAGAAGAAAGCAAAGUACAAUGUAUCUCUAUGCAAUGGAAUAUUAUGCAGCUAUUGAUUGGUAUAAAGCAGACUUACAUGUACUGAUAUGAAAUGAUAAUCUCCAAUAUAUAUAUAUGUAAACACACACAAAAUAGGCAUAUAUACCUCUAUUUCUGUUUUAAUGACAUAUUAAUAUAAUCAUAUUUAAUAACUCACCAAAGUGAAAGAUAUAUAUCAUAUUAGAAUGGUUGUCUAUGAGAGGAGGGAGGGAAAUGGGAGUGUGGAAUGGGGAUAAAUAAAUGGAUGGAUGGUGUGUGGGUGGUGAUGGUCAGAUAGACAGGUAAAUAGGCCUUCACAGACCAAUGAUGAUCAUUUUAUAUAAAUAUAUAUAUAUAUACAUAUUCAGUCGUCUGUCAGUGUCCAUGAGGGAUUGGUUCCAGGACCCUCCUCAGAUACCAAAAUCUACAGAUGCUCAAAUUGCUUAUACAAAAUGGUGUAGUAUUUGCAUAUAACCUAUACACAUUCUCGCACACACUCUAAAUCAUCUCUAGAUUAUUUAUAAUACCUAAUACAAUGUAAAUGCUAUAAAAAUAGCUGUUAUACUUAAUUAUUUAGGAAUAAUGACAAGAAAAAAACUCUGUACAUGUUCAGUACAGAAGAAACUAUCCUUUUUUUUUCAAAUAUUUUUGAUCCGCAGUUUGUUGAAUCUGUGGAUGCAGAUCCACAGAUAUGGAGAGUCAACAUAUAUAUACACCCAUACACACACAUACAUAUGAAAGACUCAUAUUUGUUAUAAUUAGUUUUAUAAUGAAUAAAAUAUGCUCAUUUAUAAUUCAUAUGUAUGAUUCACUUAUGUAUAUUAUUUCAUAAGCAUAGACUGUUUCUGGAAAGAUAGACAAGAAGCUAUUAGCAAUGGCUGCCUCUGGGAAGUGAAAAUAGAGAUUACAGGACUUUUAUUUUUCACUUUCUACCUCUCUGUACUAUUCAAACUUCUUAUCAUCAUCUUCUAUCACUUUUAUUAUUUUUUAAAAUAAAACAUAGAAUUUCAGUUCUUGCAGAAGUGAGAAUCUGACUAAGGCAACAAGAGGUACACUUUACCCUAUUUAAUCAAGUCUUUCGAGAUUACAUGAUUCAGUCUUCUUUCUUUUUUUUUUUUUUUUUUUUUUUUUUUUUGAGACAGUGUCUCGCACUGUCGCCCAGGCUGAAAUACAAUGGCGCGAUCUCGGCUUACUGCAACCUCCACCUCCCGGGUUCAUGCAAUUCUCCUGCCUCAGCCUCCAGAGUAGCCGGGAUUACAGGCACACUCCACCACACCUGGCUAAUUUUUUGUAUUUUUAGUAGAGACAGGGUUUCACUAUGUUGGCCACACUGGUCUCAAACUCCUGACCUCGUGAUCCACCCGCCUCAGCCUCCCAAAGAGCUGGGGUUACAGGUAUGAGCCACUGCACCCGGCCCAU